GAUGAACGCUGGCGGCGUGCUUAACACAUGCAAGUCGAACGAUGAACCCCACUCGUGGGGGGAUUAGUGGCGAACGGGUGAGUAACACGUGAGUAACCUGCCCUUGACUCUGGGAUAAGCCUGGGAAACCGGGUUUAAUACUGGAUACGAACUUCUGGUGCCUGCCAUGUUGGUGGACAGUUUUUGUGGUUUUGGAUGGACUCGCGGCCUAUCAGCUUGUGGGUGGGGUACUGGUCUACCAAGGCGACGACGGGCAGUCGGCCUGAGAGGGUGACCGGCCAGACGGGGACUGGGACACGGGGGAGAGAGCGACGGCAGGCAGCAGUGGGGGAGGUUGCAGAAGGGACGAAAGGACGAUGCAGCGACGCCGCGUGAAGGAAUGAGGCGUUCGUGUUGUAGGCCUCUUGCUGUAAAGAAUAUGCCAGCUGGUAGGUUAAUGACGGUACCGGCAGAAGAAGCGCCGGCUAACUACGUG
rnacentral:rRNA from 1 species